rnacentral:rRNA from 1 species
AUGGCGCGACCGAGCAGGCGAGGAGGGAGACUAGCUAGGAGUUUCCCCCCUCUCUAUCUCUCUCUUGGGGGGCGCCGCCCUUCAUCUGCUCCCGCGAUGGCGCCGGAUCCACAUCCACAGCCACGGCGCCGGCACCCAUGGAGUGACCGUGUGCUUCUUCUCCAUGGACAUGGAGCUCCCACAACACACCAUGGAAGGCCUGGAGCUCCUUCUCACGGUGCACCGCGUACAGGAGGGAAGACCAACGCUCCUCCGGAUCUGCUUCUUCCCGGGUCGCCGUUGCUCCACGGAAGGCGGAAAGUCAUAGAAGAUGGCUCAUUAGCUUCAAACAGAUCAGUGGUUACUGAAUCAGUCUCAAAAUCUUGUUCCUCCGCAGAAGUGAAAGAUGAAGAUGUUGCAAUUGCAGUUGUGAUUGAUGCAGCUGAACUUAAAUGGGAAGAGCAGUCAUUUAGGAGAGGACAAGCUCCUGGAAGGUUUACAUCAGGACGCCAUAAUGGCCAUGGAUCAUCAGAAAGGGAGGCACCUCCACCCGGCUAUGUGUGCCGCAGCUACGGAGUUCCAGGCCAUUUCAUUCAACAUUGCCCACAGGAAAACCAGACGCCUCCACCUGGAUAUACCUGCUACAGAUGUCGGGUUCCAGGGCAUUUUAUUCAGCAUUGCCCAACCAUUGGCGGUUCCAGGGCAGUUUAUAUUUACUGUGAUACUCUGAACAUCAGGACCAUGUGGACUAAACUUGCAUGUGGGUGCACCAAGGCGAAGGUCCCACUCAUCAAGGGAUAA